CUCUGCCUGCAUGCCGUCAUGCUAGCCACCAUGACUGAACCUCUGAAACUGGAGUCUGAUGCUCUCUACUGGCUUCUGCAGGCACCAGGCGCAUGUGAGGAAUUAUGAAAAUGGGUUCCAUUCCAUUUCAUGUCUCGCCACUCCUCUUCAAACUACGCAAGCAACACGGAAUACAGACUUAUGCUCCCACUUAAGAGAUUUGCUCUUCCAGUCCUUGGACAGGAUGCUGGGAAACUACCCUCACUUUUCAUAGUUCUGCUCAAACCACCCGGAAAGCCAUCCCUAAGCUCCUGUGUACUGGUUCCUGCUC